AUUGUGCGAGUGCCACACUGUCUUCGCUCCGACAACGUAUUAUGUUCCUCCGACACUUCCGCUAAUCUACGAUUCCGAUCCAACGGUCCAUAUUCUCCUUCCACUUUUAUAGAUCUACUUUCCUUUUUCACUCCCCUUCCUUUAACUAUAUUCCCAUUCCCAUUUUCGCCCUCUCCUCUUAGCUCGCAUCAAAUCUAGAGAGAGAGAGAAUUCCGGCCACGAUUUGUCGGCAACGCUUUAGAUCACACCCAAUUCAUAGAUCUGUGCAUUACAGCCUUUUUUCUGAAGCAAUAAAAAGGGAAGAAAUCUGAAAUCUCUGUUGUGCUAUACAUCAUGGCGCCGACCACGAUUCGAAAGGCGAUCGGGGCAGUGAAGGAUCAGACGAGUAUAGGGCUCGCGAAAGUAGCCAGCAACAUGGCGCCGGAGCUGGAAGUUGCUAUUGUUAAGGCUACAAGCCAUGACGAUGAACCUGCGAGCGAGAAGUACAUCCGUGAGAUUCUUCACUUGACUUCUGUCUCUCGUGGGUAUGUGAGUGCUUGUGUUUCGUUGAUUUCCAAAAGGUUAGGCAAAACCCGCGAUUGGAUUGUUGCCAUCAAGUGUUUGAUGCUCAUUCACCGUCUUCUCAAUGAUGGUGAUAAUGUGUUUCAGCAAGAGAUCAUGUAUGCCACGAGGAGAGGCACCAGGCUUCUCAAUUUGUCUGAUUUUCGCGAUGAGGCUCAUUCGAAUUCAUGGGAUCAUUCGGCUUUUGUAAGGACUUAUGCUUUGUAUUUGGAUCAAAGAUUGGAGUUGAUGGUUUUUGAGAGGAAGCAAAAUGGGAGUACUGGUGGAGAGAUUGAGAGAUAUGGUUCUAGAGAAGAAAGGUGGAGAUCUCCUCCUAGCUCUAACCGAGGCAAUGGUUAUGAUUAUGGUGAGUUCAGGGAUGAGCCUGCUUAUGGAAUGAGGAAGUCGCGAUCAUCUGGGGAUGUGAGAGAGUCAACACAGGAGCGGAAAGAUGUGACCCCAUUAAGAGAGAUGAACCCUGAGAGGAUCUUUGGGAAGAUGACUCAUUUGCAGAGGUUGUUGGAUCGGUUUUUGUCUUGUCGACCAACUGGAUUGGCGAAAAAUGAAAGGAUGGUGUUGGUUGCUUUGUAUCCUAUGGUGAAAGAAAAUUUCCAGCUUUAUGCUGAUAUAUGUGAGGUUUUGGCUGUUUUGUUGGAUAAAUUCUUUGACAUGGAGUACCAGGAUUGCGUUAAGGCAUUUGAUGCCUAUGCUAGUGCAGCGAAGCAGAUCGAUGAGCUAGUGGGAUUCUACAACUGGUGUAAGGAUAUUGGUGUGGCUAGGUCGUCUGAGUAUCCGGAAGUUCAAAGGAUAACAAGCAAGCUAUUGGAUACAUUAGAAGAGUUUGUGAGGGACAGGGCUAAGGCGACAAAGAGUCCCGAGCGGAAAGUUGAGAGUCUGCCAGCUCCACCAGAAGAACCAGCACCUGAUAUGAAUGAGAUUAAAGCGUUGCCUGCACCGGAGGAGUAUACUCCUCCACCACCACCUGAACCGGAGCCUCCUAAGCCAGUGGUUCAGGAGACUGGGGAUUUGGUGGAUUUGAGGGAGGAGGGUGUUACUGCUGAUGAUCAGGGAAAUAAAUUUGCCUUGGCAUUGUUUGCAGGGCCUGGAACAAACAAUGGGUCGUGGGAAGCAUUCCCCGGCAAUGGGGAAGCUCAGAUGACCUCUGCUUGGCAGAAUCCAGCGGCUGAGAUUGGUAAGGCUGAUUGGGAGUUGGCUUUGGUGGAGACAGCUAGUCAUCUGUCUAAUCAAAAGGCCGCAUUGGGCGGUGGACUUGAUCCACUACUGUUGAAUGGCAUGUAUGAUCAAGGGAUGGUUAGGCAGCAUGUUUCCACUGCCCAGUUGAGUGGAGGUAGUGCCAGCAGUGUGGCAUUACCCGGGACAGGGAAGAGUGCAACGCCAGUUUUGGCACUCCCUGCACCUGAUGGAACGANCCGAUGGAACGGUCCAGACAGUUGGACAGGAUCCAUUUGCUGCAUCUUUGACUGUUCCACCUCCUUCAUAUGUACAAAUGGCGGAUUUGGAGAAGAAACAGCAAUUGCUUGUACAGGAGCAAGUCGUAUGGCAGCAAUAUGCUAGAGAUGGUAUGCAAGGCCAAACGAGUUUGUCCAAGAUCAACACUGGCGGAUAUUAUGGUCCACAAACAGCUGCGAUGCCUUAUGGCAUGCCACCAGUAAAUGGUGUUGGAUUACCACCUGCGGCAGGGUACUACUACACUCCUUACUGAUAUUGCCACGUAUACAUCAUUUUUAGCUUUUCAUUUUCCAUUUCAUUGUUAUGUUCUUUAUCUAGUGCUUUGAUCUUUUUCCACUGUAUUCUAUUGAUGGAUAUAUGUUCAAUUUGUGCAUGUGUAGUGAGGGUAGUGGUUGAGAGGAAGAGAGAAUGGGCUGAAGAGAAUAGAGACUAAUGGUUGGGGGGAUUCUUAUGCUGGGUGCUCUGUAAUCCUAAUAGCAUGACUCAUCUGUUUUUGUAAUAUUUGUAUUUUCUUCAGGUCUUCGUUUAAGUGAUGUUUGUUUCUAUAGUGUAACCUAACUCCAUUCCGAUCA